GACUGCAAAUUUCGACCUCUUGCACUGGUACAUUGCUAAUUUAGUGAUCAAUGACAGUGACGAUUCUUCUCAUGAUUCGCUCUGCUGAUUUGAUGCUUUAAUUAUCUAUAUGCUUCUGGAAAUUGUAUGCGUUGUUUGUCAACAGUUGACAUUUAGAUGGCAGAGGUAGUAUAGAUGCUUUCUAGGUUGAAGUUUAUUUUCCACCGAAUUAAUGCGGUUGAUUUUCUCCAAAAUGAAAAAUAAAAAUUAUCUGCGGACUUUAGAUACGCCUGCAGACGUCCCGAUCUGUCUGUGCAAGGUGUUUAUUGAGAUUUAUUGCCUGAGAAGGUAGUAAUAAUGAUAUUUCUAGAUGAUUCUUAAUUAGAAGUUUGACAAUUUGCUAUAAGUGAAACUUAUCAAAUCUUGUGGGAGUGUUAGUGCAAUAGUAAGGACAUUGUAUGUAUUUUGGAAUCACGAAGCAUGCAAAAUUUCGAAAAGAUAAGUUAUAGUAGCAUUUUAUUGAUUAGGACAGAAGAUGAACUCCAGAGAAGUGUUUUCAGUGUUAAAAUUAGUUAUAUUUCUAUUUUCUUGUCUAUGUGGAUAAGUUGAUUAAGGAGAAACAAUAAGUUACAAAAAAAAAGUGUUUCUGGAAAGGGGAAGCUCACAAGUCAUUUGCAAUUGCAACCUAGUUUGGAGCAGUGGUAGCUCGACCAAAAUAAAGAAAAUACUCUAGAUACAAAAUGAACCUUUCCACUUAGAUAGGUGUGAGGAAAAAAGGCUUUUGAUCAAAUACAUCUAUCCUCAUUGAGAGGAGCUGGAAACCCGAAGAUGGAAGAAUUCAUUUGAAGUCAUUAUAAUGCACUUACUUAACAAAGAGCGGUGUAGGUUUCAGAGAAUGGAAAAAAAGAAAAGAAAAAGAAGAUCAAAUAGACAUGGAAUAACCUGUGGAGGCUUUCCUCCCAUCGUUAUUCUCCAAAAUUGCCUCUAUGUUGACUGAUUGAGACUUGACUUGGGAUAGCAGAAAACCAUAUUUAUCCCAAAUCCUUUUACCUCAUUUGUGUUUUGAACUUGAGCUGGUAUAAGAAGUGAACAUAAAGACAUGCCUUUUGAUGAAAAAAACCUGAGGUGGAUCUGGAUUCUUAAUCUGAUAAAGACAGACCUGCUUGUCAAUCUGCAAAUUCAUUGAGAGAUGGUGCAAUAAGCAAAAGGGUUGGUGUAGUUUUGCAAAUGUAUUAAACUAGAGAUAUCAGUAGCUACUAUUACUAUUACUAUACAACACGUUUUAUAAACUAACUCUGUAUAAGUUAUUGUUGCAGAUAUGGUUUGAUUCGAUCAUUGAUUAUUAGGGAUUUUUUAUCCAUUAUAAUAUGCUAUACAGAUAAGCAAACCUUACAGUAACGAUAAUGGGAAGAAGGAUCCAUCAAGUCUUCAACAUGCCAACCGGGGAGAGUCUCCAUUAAGUACUCCGAUAUGCUACUGGUCGAGUCUGAAGCUUGCUCACCGGUGGGCAGGCUCGACUCAUUCUCCCUCGUAGGGUUUGAUGAUGUCUCUGAACAAUUUGCAUUAUUUGAGUUUGCAUUAGCGACUGAAGUUCUGAACUCUAUUCCAGAUUGUGAACCACUGGAUGACGUAGCACCUUGAUACGAAGAAAUGGCUGCAGAAAGCUUGACCCCAGUUAGAAGAAACCUAUUAUGUUUCUUGGUGAGUUCGUUGGCCUUGUGUAUUGGUACAUCACAUUCUCGACAAAGUAAAGCCCUGUCUUCUUGACAAAACAGUAACGCUUGUCUUUCCUGUACAAGUAUAUAUGAUUCCGUUACUCAAAUUAUCAGUUUGUUGUAAAAGAUUGUGCUCUUUUUGAAAAUCUCAACAUUGAAGUGGUGAUUCGAAACGAGUUAAUGACAAUGUAUGUUUAUAAACCUGGCAAAUGUCGCAGCGUGGAGAUUCUUUCAACUGAGGAUUAAGAAGAGAGAAACGAGGAUGCUUGCUCGCGAGCUUAUUGGCGUUAUGAACUCGGUCGUCGCAAUUCUGGCAGAGGGCGGCUUCAUCGGCUGUGCAGAAUACGGCUGCUGCUUCUUUCCCACAAACGUCGCAUUGAAUCUUCAUUU
rnacentral:lncRNA from 1 species